GCCGACAUAGCUCAGCUGGUAGAGCAACGCAUUCGUAAUGCGUAGGUCCGGCGUUCGACUCGCCGUGUCGGCACCA
rnacentral:tRNA from 1 species